UACGGAGGAUGCAAGCGUUAUCCGGAUUUAUUGGGUUUAAAGGGUGCGCAGGUUGUUUGGUAAGUCAGUGGUGAAAGUCUGUCGCUUAACGGUAGGAUUGCCAUUGAUACUGUUGGACUUGAAUAUGGAUGAGGUAGGCGGAAUGUGUAGUGUAGCGGUGAAAUGCAUAGAUAUUACACAGAACACCGAUUGCGAAGGCAGCUUACUAAUCCAUCAUUGACGCUGAGGCACGAAAGCGUGGGGAUCAAACAGGA
rnacentral:rRNA from 1 species